GGGUUGUGAGGUUAAGCGACUAAGCGUACACGGUGGAUGCCCUGGCAGUCAGAGGCGAUGAAGGGCGUGCUAAUCUGCGAUAAGCGCCGGUAAGGUGAUAUGAACCGUUAUAACCGGCGAUACCCGAAUGGGGAAACCCAGUGUGAUUCGUCACACUAUCAUUAACUGAAUCCAUAGGUUAAUGAGGCGAACCGGGGGAACUGAAACAUCUAAGUACCCCGAGGAAAAGAAAUCAACC
rnacentral:rRNA from 1 species